CUGCUCCCAGUGUUUUCCCUAACCAAUCAGCUCCUUGCCUGUUCUCUGGCUAGUCACCUGUUCCCCAUUCCCUCAAUAGUACAGUUUGUAUUCAAGUCCUGGUUUUCAGUUCAGUCUUUUUGGAUCCUUUGUUCUGUUUUCUUCUGUUCAGACCAGUUUUGCUCUGCCUGCACUCAAAGCAGAACAAAACAAAACUUAUUCUUCAAGUUCCUGUUGCCUGUAGUCUCCUGUGCUUGGGUCCACCUGCUCCACUCCACUCUUCACAACAACCAAAUGCUAAGAUAUUCUCAAAUUCAUCAAACAGCAGGAAUUCAGGAAGAAAAAAUAAAGCGCUUCCUGCUGGUGAGGGAGGAGUGAAGCCUACCACUGCCGCUCCAGCAGCAGCUGACAGCACUGGAUCCAGAGCCAGUACAGAUGUCAUUGUCCCCAGCCUGACUGAUCGAAACCUCAAGAAGUCUCUCUCGCCCCAGCCUAAGAAGACCAACAAAAGAGUGUGUUUCUGGAAGUACUGCUCCCAGAACUGACCGUCUCCCAGACAAUCCCUUCCCAACAUGUCUACACUGAAAGAGAUGGGGAACCAAUUCCACUCCAUUUUGGGGAAAAAAAUGCUUCAGCAGCCAAGUUAGCAGAAUCAAGUGGGUGUCCUGUCAUGUUUAGGUUUAUUGCUAGUACUGUGUCCUGGCAACGAAUGCAUCAGGACAUAUCCUACAUUGGCUGUGCAAGGAAAUACUGACUAAGGUAACACAAAGAGGGAAUUUGGCACUUAAAAGACUAACGGUGCUUUCAGACUGAGUAUCUGCUGCCACCACCUCCAUUGUUUUCAUUGUAGUUAGAGGGUGAUUUGAAGGUAUCAGAGUGUGCAACCACAGAGGAAUAAUUUGACAUCUUGGUAAAUGCACUUCUUGCCAAGAAUUAGAUAAGAAGAUUAAUACCUGUAUCAUGUCUGUAGAGUAAACACGUAGCUGGAGCCAGCAGCUGGUUAGUUUCGCAUAGUAUAAAGACGGGAAGUAGGGUGAAAUAACUCACUUGUUUCUGUCCAAAGCCAAGCCCCUCUAUAGCUAUAUACACUAAUAAACACAUUAUAGCUGGCUGUUUCCCCCUGUUUAUAGUCUUAAUGUUAGGCUAAACUAACCAGCUACUGGCUCCAACUACAACUGCAAAUGUAAAAAAGACAAGUUGUGUUUUUAUGGGAGGUUAUAUACCUGACUAUUUCUAUUUCUUGUUGAUUUUACACUUAGGUUUUUGUAUGUGUCAAACAAACCCAUAAUGAUGAGAGAUAAGUUAAUCAAUGAGCUUUAGAGGUGCUAGACAUAUAUUGGACAGAGCUAGGCUAGCUGAUUCACCAGUCUUUAUGCAAGAGAAGAAGAGCAUAUUUUCCAAAAUGUCAAACUAUUCCUUUAACAUUUCUGGCAAUGGUUUUACGUUAUCCAUACCCUGCAGAAUUGUAUUAGCUAUGUUUGAAAAAUUUGUUCGUUGAUUGGAAUCUAUUGGUAUGAAAAUGUCUACAUUCAAAGGUGUUAAAUAAUCUAAAAUAUCAUCCUUCUGAAGUUCAUAUUGCUCAUACUUUGGUUUCAUCCAUCCAUUUAUCCAUACAUUCAUUCCACCCAGUGUCCAUUCCUCUCCUCUGGCUCCUCUCCAACCUCUGAGUGCUGGGAGACUGUUGCUGUGGCAUCAGGAAGCCCGGGGUCUCCCCCCAUGGCGCCGCCAGCCUUGACUCUGUCCUUUUCAUUCACUCAUUAAUUAACAAGACUGACGAAUCAGAAGACGAUGUGUGCUCAUGGCCGGGUGCAUGAAAAAAGACCUCUGCUAACCCUUUCUUUGCCUUCAAAGACAGACGCACAUUGUUUCUGUAUGUGUGCGCCAACUUUAAAAUAAAGUUCAUCUCUAGCAUGAGAAAAGCCAA